rnacentral:rRNA from 1 species
GACGAACGCUGGCGGCGUGCUUAACACAUGCAAGUCGAACGAAGUGGCGAACGGGUGCGUAACGCGUAAUCAACCUGCCCUUCAGCGGGGGACAACAGUUGGAAACGACUGCUAAUACCGCAUACUGAAGGAGGGGAUUGCGUCUGAUUAGCUAGUUGGAGGGAUAACGGCCCACCAAGGCGAUGAUCAGUAGCAGGUCUGAGAGGAUGGACGGCAACAUGGGGACUGAGACACGGCCCAGACUCCUACGGGAGGCAGCAGUGGGGAAGCGUCCGCAAUGGACGAAAGACUGACGGAGUAACGCCGCGUGAGUGAUGACGGCCUUCGGGUUGUAAAGCUCUGUUAAUCGGGACGCGGUACCGGAAUAGAAAGCCACGGCUAACUACGUGCCAGCAGCCGCGGUAAUAC